CUAGGUUUGACAUGGACGUGGUACCCGGGGCGAAAGCUUUGGGGACCCGCAAGGGAGCGUUCACAGGUGCUGCAUGGCUGUCGUCAGCUCGUGUCGUGAGAUGUUCGGUUAAGUCCGGCAACGAGCGCAACCCUCGCCUCCAGUUACCAGCGAGUAAAGUCGGGGACUCUGGAGGGACUAACCCGUUAGGGUGGGAAGGUGGGGAUGACGUCAAGUCAGUAUGGCCCUUACAUCUAGGGCUGCACACGUGCUACAAUGCCUGGUACAAAAGGAACCAAGACCGCGAGGUGGAGGAAAUCCCUAAAGCCAGGCCCAGUUCAGAUUGGAGUCUGCAACUCGACUCCAUGAAGCCGGAAUCGCUAGUAAUGGUAGAUCAGCUACGCUACCGUGAAUAC
rnacentral:rRNA from 1 species